GAUGAACGCUGCCGGCGUGCCUAAUACAUGCAAGUCGAGCGAAUGGAUAGAGAGCUUGCUCUUAUGAAGUUAGCGGCGGACGGGUGAGUAACACGUGGGUAACCUGCCCAUAAGAUUGGGAUAACUCCGGGAAACCGGGGCUAAUACCGGAUAACAUUUUGAACCGCAUGGUUCGAAAUUGAAAGGCGGCUUCGGCUGUCACUUAUGGAUGGACUCGCGUCGCAUUAGCUAGUUGGUGAGGUAACGGCUCACCAAGGCAACGAUGCGUAGCCGACCUGAGAGGGUGAUCGGCCACACUGGGACUGGGACACGGCCCAGACUCCUACGGGAGGCAGCAGUAGGGAAUCUUCCGCAAUGGACGAAAGUCUGACGGAGCAACGCCGCGUGAGUGAUGAAGGCUUUCGGGUCGUAAAACUCUGUUGUUAGGGAAGAACAAGUGCUAGUUGAAUAAGCUGGCACCUUGACGGUACCUAACCAGAAAGCCACGGCUAACUACGUGCCAGCAGCCGCCGUAA
rnacentral:rRNA from 1 species